CUACGGGGUGGCWGCAGUAGGGAAUCUUCCGCAAUGGACGAAAGUCUGACGGAGCAACGCCGCGUGAACGAAGAAGGCCUUCGGGUCGUAAAGUUCUGUUGUUAGGGAAGAACAAGUACCAGAGUAACUGCUGGUACCUUGACGGUACCUAACCAGAAAGCCACGGCUAACUACGUGCCAGCAGCCGCGGUAAUACGUAGGUGGCAAGCGUUGUCCGGAAUUAUUGGGCGUAAAGCGCGCGCAGGUGGUUCCUUAAGUCUGAUGUGAAAGCCCACGGCUCAACCGUGGAGGGUCAUUGGAAACUGGGGAACUUGAGUGCAGAAGAGGAAAGUGGAAUUCCAAGUGUAGCGGUGAAAUGCGUAGAGAUUUGGAGGAACACCAGUGGCGAAGGCGACUUUCUGGUCUGUAACUGACACUGAGGCGCGAAAGCGUGGGGAGCAAACAGGAUUAGAUACCCCURGUAGUCA
rnacentral:rRNA from 1 species